AGAACUGUUAAGAAAGAAUAGUUUUUUUUCACAUUGCAGCCACUCUGAAAUGAUGCUUCGCUACUUUUGUUAUAUGAAGUCAUGGAUGAAGAGUGAGGGAGUAACAGCUGAUAACAAAAACAGUCCUGUGGGCGCUGGCCAGACCUCGUUAUCUGCUGCAAAUUCCGAUUUAUAAAUUAUUUUCAAAACUUUUAGCUAGCAUAACCAAAGCUACCUUGAUAAUGAAUCAACACUCGGAUGUCGAGAAGAGGAUUGCUUCGAGCCCAAACUGUCCAUACUUCCACUCUUCUCCAUGUUGUUCUGUUCUCUUUUGUUGGAUGAAGAUCGUUGGCUGCAGUGGAGUUGCAAGUAUAUCUAAUCCUCCACUAGUCUGACAGUAUUAAAACCAGCAACAAACGGAAGCUGCCAUGUUUUCCCAGCAGCCUCACUCGCUCUAAAAGGGAAAAAUAGAUAUACAGUGCCCUCUGGCGGACAAAAUAAGACUUGCAGCCUUUCGUGAAAACAAGUUCUUUAAAAAUAAUAAAUGUAUAUAAAAACAUGUUCACGAAGCUUAAUUGUAUGUUUUACGAUCUUUAAUUAUGGCGCUCACAUUUAUAUACAUGAUUAAAGAAAUUUUAUUUCAAUGACAACAGAUCAUCCUCGCUACAGAGGGUAACUACUGUAAACUAAAAAAAAAA